UACGAAGGGGGGCUAGCGUUGCUCGGAAUCACUGGGCGUAAAGCGCACGUAGGCGGCUUCUUAAGUCAGGGGUGAAAUCCUGGAGCUCAACUCCAGAACUGCCUUUGAUACUGAGAAGCUUGAGUCCGGGAGAGGUGAGUGGAACUGCGAGUGUAGAGGUGAAAUUCGUAGAUAUUCGCAAGAACACCAGUGGCGAAGGCGGCUCACUGGCCCGGUACUGACGCUGAGGUGCGAAAGCGUGGGGAGCAAACAGG
rnacentral:rRNA from 1 species